GGUGGCGUGACCGAGUGGUUAAGGUGACUGACUUGAAAUCAGUUGGGGAACUCCCGCGUAGGUUCAAAUCCUGCCGUCAUCG
rnacentral:tRNA from 1 species